rnacentral:rRNA from 1 species
GUCGAACGGCAGCACGGGAGCUUGCUCCUGGUGGCGAGUGGCGAACGGGUGAGUAAUACAUCGGAACGUACCCAGGAGUGGGGGAUAACGUAGCGAAAGUUACGCUAAUACCGCAUAUUCUGUGAGCAGGAAAGCGGGGGAUCGCAAGACCUCGCGCUCUUGGAGCGGCCGAUGUCGGAUUAGCUAGUUGGUGAGGUAAAAGCUCACCAAGGCGACGAUCCGUAGCAGGUCUGAGAGGAUGAUCUGCCACACUGGGACUGAGACACGGCCCAGACUCCUACGGGAGGCAGCAGUGGGGAAUUUUGGACAAUGGGGGCAACCCUGAUCCAGCCAUGCCGCGUGAGUGAAGAAGGCCUUCGGGUUGUAAAGCUCUUUCGGCGGGGAAGAAAUGGCAACGGCUAAUAUCCGUUGUUGAUGACGGUACCCGCAUAAGAAGCACCGGCUAACUACGUGCCAGCAGCCGCGGUAAUACGUAGGGUGCGAGCGUUAAUCGGAAUUACUGGGCGUAAAGCGUGCGCAGGCGGUUUCGUAAGACAGACGUGAAAUCCCCGGGCUCAACCUGGGAACUGCGUUUGUGACUGCGAGGCUAGAGUACGGCAGAGGGGGGUAGAAUUCCACGUGUAGCAGUGAAAUGCGUAGAGAUGUGGAGGAAUACCGAUGGCGAAGGCAGCCCCCUGGGUUAGUACUGACGCUCAUGCACGAAAGCGUGGGGAGCAAACAGGAUUAGAUACCCUG